UACGAAGGGGGCUAGCGUUGCUCGGAAUUACUGGGCGUAAAGCGUGCGCAGGCGGCUUUGCAAGACAGAUGUGAAAUCCCCGGGCUCAACCUGGGAACUGCAUUUGUGACUGCAUGGCUAGAGUACGGUAGAGGGGGAUGGAAUUCCGCGUGUAGCAGUGAAAUGCGUAGAUAUGCGGAGGAACACCGAUGGCGAAGGCAAUCCCCUGGACCUGUACUGACGCUCAUGCACGAAAGCGUGGGGAGCAAACAGG
rnacentral:rRNA from 1 species